UACGGGGGGAGCAAGCGUUGUUCGGAUUUACUGGGCGUAAAGAGCGCGCAGGCGGCUGGUCAAGUCCGAUGUGAAAGCUCCCGGCUUAACUGGGAAAUUGCAUCGGAAACUGAUCGGCUGGAAGGUGGGAGAGGGUAGCGGAAUUCCCGGUGUAGUGGUGAAAUGCGUAGAUAUCGGGAGGAACACCAGUGGCGAAGGCGACUACCUGGCCUGUUCUUGACGCUGAGGCGCGAAAGCUAGGGGAGCAAACGGG
rnacentral:rRNA from 1 species